GGUGAUUUGAUGUGGGUAAAACAGGCAGGUACAUGCGGUAUCGGAUACCGAACUACAGGUGAUUUGAUGUGGGUAAAACAGGCAGGUACAUGCGGUAUCGGAUACCGAA